rnacentral:rRNA from 1 species
UACGUAGGGUGCAAGCGUUAAUCGGAAUUACUGAGCGUAAAGCGUGCGCAGGCGGUGAUGUAAGACAGAUGUGAAAUCCCCGGGCUCAACCUAGGAACUGCAUUUGUGACUGCAUCGCUGGAGUGCGGCAGAGGGGGAUGGAAUUCCGCGUGUAGCAGUGAAAUGCGUAGAUAUGCGGAGGAACACCGAUGGCGAAGGCAAUCCCCUGGGCCUGCACUGACGCUCAUGCACGAAAGCGUGGGGAGCAAACAGG